rnacentral:rRNA from 1 species
AUUGAACGCUGGCGGCAGGCCUAACACAUGCAAGUCGAGCGAGCGGCGGACGGGUGAGUAAUGUCUGGGAAACUGCCUGAUGGAGGGGGAUAACUACUGGAAACGGUAGCUAAUACCGCAUACCAUCAGAUGUGCCCAGAUGGGAUUAGCUAGUAGGUGGGGUAACGGCCCACCUAGGCGACGAUCCCUAGCUGGUCUCGGAGGAUGGCCAGCCACCCGGGAGCUGAGACGCGGUCCAGGCUCCUACGGGAGGCAGCAGUGGGGAAUAUUGCGCAGUGGGCGCAAGCCUGAUGCAGCCAUGCCGAGUGUGUGGAGGAGGCCUUCGGGUUGGAAAGCACGUUCAGCGGGGAGGCGUUACCCGCAGAAGAAGCACCGGCUAACUCCGUGCCAGCAGCCGCGGUAAUUC